GUUGAGGUUUUAACGGUCAAAUUCCUUAUUUCUGUGUUUCAUCACCAAUAAAGUUAAUGUGGAGGUUUUAAUGGUCAAAUUUGAGUAAAUAAAGCCGUUGUUAAUUGUGAUUUUCGGGGGGAAAAAUGGGAUCUUUGAUGAGUGAAGAAAAGGUUGGAGUAACCGAAGAAAAAGAAUCAUAUGAAGCUAUUGUUUACAUCAAUGGUGUUCGGAAAGUUCUUUCUGAUGGUUUAGCUCACUUGACUCUUCUUGAGUAUCUCUGAGAUCUUGGUCUAACUGGGACAAAAUUAGGAUGUGGUGAAGGAGGAUGUGGUGCUUGUACAUUUAUGGUUUCCUACUAUGAUCAGCAGCACAAGAAAUGUGUGCACCAUGCAGUUAAUGCAUGUUUGGCGCCGCUGUACUCUGUAGAAGGAAUGCAUGUAAUCACAGUGGAAGGCAUCGGAAGUCGUAAACUUGGCUUGCAUCCAGUACAGGUUCAAUUCUUCCCUUUCUAUUUGAUUUCAUCGAAAGAGGAUCAUACUUCAUAUAUCAUUAUAAGUACACACAAGAGCUUUUCAGAUGUUGAAAUGUUU